rnacentral:tRNA from 1 species
GUCCGGGUGGCGGAAUGGUAGACGCGCUAGCUUGAGGUGUUAGUCCUCGCAAGGGGGUGGGGGUUCGAGUCCCCCCUCGGACA